rnacentral:lncRNA from 1 species
CCAGGCUGGUCUUCAGCUCCUGAUCUCAGGUGAUCCACCCGCUUCAGCCUCCCAAAUUGCUGGGAUUACAGGCUUGUUUGGACUGAGUUCCAGAUCUGGGCUGUCAUGGAACAUAACAGGGACCCUUCAUGGGGACAGCAAGAAGGUUCACCGACCCAAUUCAGAGGAAGGAAGAGCCUGGCCUUCAAAAUUACUAUGACCAUCAGAAUGCCCUAGGAGAUCAAAGAAAUAACGGAGUGGGUGUGAGACCUUUUACAAAUGUGUGCACUCAAGCAGUGCAAAGGCAAACCUCCUGAGUCUCGCUCUGUCACUCAGGCUGGAGUGCAGUGGCAUGAUCUCAGCCCGCUGCAACCUUCGCCUUCCAGGUUCAAGCAGUUCUCCUGCCUCAGCUCUUGGACAAAACUUCAGCACUCCUGCUAGGGUGUGUCUGCCCUACUAAGACACUGUGCGCAGGUGGAGUUGAGGCUCUUAUGUAUGGAUCCUGUCCACUGUUGAGAUUGUGAAUUGCAUGUGUAGACUCAACUCACAGGAGGUGUUGACUCACAAACCUCCAGCUGGGACAUGUGCAGGAUUAGAAAUUUUAUUUCUGGAUCUUUCUUCAGAAGGCGUUGUAACAUCUCACUAAGCCCAGCACUCAGGCGAUGUGGCUUUCCUGCUAUGGCACUGCACACAAGAAGAAUGUUGACAUAUUCCUGGCCCAGAAUUCAGGUGGAGAUGGAGCUCUCAUGCACGGAUCCUGUCCGAUGUUAAGACUGUGUCUCGUGUAUUUGGAUGCAACUCACAAGAGGUGUUGACUCUCAGACCUAAAGCUGGGAAAUAUGUAGAAUUGUGAAAUUUAUUCCUGGUCCUUCCCGCAGGUGUGAUUGUGGCGUAUAUGUUCACACAGCACUUAAUUUAUUUUACAAUUUGUUUGAACUCAGCCAACUGUUGGGACUGUGACAUAUACCUGGACCAAGUUCCUAGGUGAUGUAACUCUCCAGCCUGGGCCUUACCACAGGGUACAUUGUGACAUAUCUUUGGACUUAUCACCUAUGUGAUGUGACUCUACUGACUUGCCUUGUCUUGGCCUCCAUUGGGGAUUGUGGCAUAUUUCUGUGCCCAGUACCUAAGUUAUGUGACUCUUCUUUCCUGCUUGUGCAUUUAGAAGGGAUUGUGACAUAUUGCUGGGCCAAGAACCUAGGUGAUGUGACUCUCCUGCCUUGGCCCUGCCUUCAGGAAAAAUUGUGAUGUGACUCUGGGUUUAUUACCUAGAUGAUGUGACUCUUGUGUUCUGCAUGGGCAAGCCCAAAGGGGUCAUUGUGGCAUAUCUCUGGGCACAUCAAAGAAGUGGUGUAAUUUUUCUCUCAUUCCAGGACUCUAGUCUCAGUAGGGAUUGUGACAUAUCACUGGGCCCAUAACCUAUGUCAUGUGAUUCUAGUAUCCUGCUUGGGCCCUGCUUACAGGAAAGAUUGUGACAUUUGGCUGGGCCCAUCACCUAGUUAAUGUGACUCUCCUUUUCUUCCUGUGCCCUGCCCUCAGUGGAGAUUGUGACAAAUUUCUGGGCCAAUCAGCUGUGCAAUAUGACUCUGCUCUUUCCUGGGCCCUGCUAUCGGGGAGCAUUGUGACAUAUUGCCAGGCUCAGCACCUAGGUAAUGUGACUCUUCUUGCUGCCUGGGCCCUACUUACAGAAGGGAUUUUGAUGUAUUGCUGAACCAAGAAUUCAGAUGAUGUGACUCUCCUGCCUGUGCGCUGUCUACAGUGGGCAUUGUGACAUAUCAUUGGUGAUGUGACUCUCCUGCCUUGUUCCUGCCCACAGGUGAAAUUGUGGCAUAUACCUGGGUCCAGAUCACAGGCACAAUGAUGACUCUCUUACCUGGACACAGCCAGUGGGAAAUAUUUUGACUUUUGUAGCCAGGCUUAGGGCCACAGGUGGUUUGGUGACUCUCAAACCAUGAUUCAGCAGACCUGUGAGGCUGUGAGUUCCCUAUCAGAACACAAUCUGCAGGUUGUAUUGUGCCAUAUACCUGGGACCAAAUUACAAGCACAAUGAUGAAUCUUUUACCUGGAGUCAAGACAUGGGCAGGAUGAUGGAACUUAUCACUGGACCUUUCCACAGUGUUAUUGUGACAUAUGCCUUUGCCCAACAUGUGGUGAUUUGACUCCCCAGACUGGGUCCAGUUCACAAAUAAAAUUGUGCCGUAUACUUGGCCAAGAACCUAA